UACGUAGGGUGCAAGCGUUGCCCGGAUUUAUUGGGCGUAAAGGGCGCGCAGGCGGCUACGCACGUCCGUUGUGAAAUCGCUCGGCUCAACUGGGCGGGGUCGGCGGAUACGGCGUAGCUGGAGCAAGCUAGGGGGCAAUGGAAUUCCCGGUGUAGUGGUGGAAUUCGUAGAUAUCGGGAGGAACACCAGAGGCGAAGGCGGCCACCUGGACAGACACUGACGCUGAGACGCGAGAGCGUGGGGAGCAAACAGG
rnacentral:rRNA from 1 species